GCAAGUCGCACGAGAAAGUUCUCUUCGGAGAGCGAGUAAAGUGGCGCACGGGUGCGUAACACGUAAAGAACUUACCCAGUAGACGGGGACAACUGCGGGAAACUGCAGCUAAUUCCGGAUACGCUCUUAGGAACAUAAUGUUCUCUAGAGGAAAGAGGCCCUCUGAUCUAUGGUCUCGCUAUUGGAUGGCUUUGCGGCCCAUCAGCUUGUUGGUGAGGUAAUGGCUCACCAAGGCUAUGACGGGUAGCUGGUCUGAGAGGACGAUC
rnacentral:rRNA from 1 species